rnacentral:rRNA from 1 species
CAAGUCGAACGAUGAAGCCCUUCGGGGUGGAUUAGUGGCGAACGGGUGAGUAACACGUGGGCAAUCUGCCCUGCACUCUGGGACAAGCCCUGGAAACGGGGUCUAAUACCGGAUACUGAUCGCCUUGGGCAUCCUUGGUGAUCGAAAGCUCCGGCGGUGCAGGAUGAGCCCGCGGCCUAUCAGCUUGUUGGUGAGGUAAUGGCUCACCAAGGCGACGACGGGUAGCCGGCCUGAGAGGGCGACCGGCCACACUGGGACUGAGACACGGCCCAGACUCCUACGGGAGGCAGCAGUGGGGAAUAUUGCACAAUGGGCGAAAGCCUGAUGCAGCGACGCCGCGUGAGGGAUGACGGCCUUCGGGUUGUAAACCUCUUUCAGCA